rnacentral:rRNA from 1 species
UACGUAGGGUCCGAGCGUUGUCCGGAAUUACUGGGCGUAAAGAGCUCGUAGGUGGUUUGUCGCGUUGUUCGUGAAAACUCACAGCUUAACUGUGGGCGUGCGGGCGAUACGGGCAGACUGGAGUACUGCAGGGGAGACUGGAAUUCCUGGUGGUAGCGGUGGAAUGCGCAGAGUAUCAGGAGGAACACCGGUGGCGAAGGCGGGUCUCUGGGCAGUGAACUGACGCUGGAGGAGCGAAAGCGUGGGGAGCGAACAGGAAUAGAUACCCCGAGUAAGCUCCA